GUGUCAGCCGCCGCGGUAAUACGUAGGGUGCGAGCGUUACUCGGAAUUACUGUGCGUAAAGCGUGCGCAGGCGGUGAUGUAAGACAGUUGUGAAAUCCCCGGGCCCAACCUGGGAACUGCAUCUGUGACUGCAUCGCUGGAGUGCGGCAGAGGGGGAUGGAAUUCCGCGUGUAGCAGUGAAACUCGUAGAUAUGCGGAGGAACACCGAUGGCGAAGGCAAUCCCCUGGGCCUGCACUGACGCUCAUGCACGAAAGCGUGGGGAGCAAACAGGAUUAGAUACCCUGGUAGUCC
rnacentral:rRNA from 1 species